rnacentral:rRNA from 1 species
ACGCGAAGAACCUUACCUACUCUUGACAUCCAGAGAAUUCGCUAGAGAUAGCUUAGUGCCUUCGGGAACUCUGAGACAGGUGCUGCAUGGCUGUCGUCAGCUCGUGUUGUGAAAUGUUGGGUUAAGUCCCGCAACGAGCGCAACCCUUAUCCUUAUUUGCCAGCACGUAAUGGUGGGAACUCUAGGGAGACUGCCGGUGAUAAACCGGAGGAAGGUGGGGACGACGUCAAGUCAUCAUGGCCCUUACGAGUAGGGCUACACACGUGCUACAAUGGCGAGUACAGAGGGUUGCAAAGCCGCGAGGUGGAGCUAAUCUCACAAAGCUCGUCGUAGUCCGGAUUGGAGUCUGCAACUCGACUCCAUGAAGUCGGAAUCGCUAGUAAUCGUGGAUCAGAAUGCCACGGUGAAUACGUUCCCGGGCCUUGUACACACCGCCCGUCACACCAUGGGAGUGGGCUGCAAAAGAAGUGGGUAGCUUAACCU